rnacentral:rRNA from 1 species
CGUCUAGGCGGUUUGGUAUGUCUGCUGUGAAAAUUCGGGGCUCAACUCCGUAUUGCGUUGGAAACUGUCAAACUAGAGUACUGGAGAGGUAGGCGGAACUACAAGUGUAGAGGUGAAAUGCGUAGAUAUUUGUAGGAAUGCCGAUGGGGAAGCCAGCCGACUGGACAGAUACUGACGCUAAGGCGCGAAAGCGUGGGUAGCAA